AAUCCAUAGGUUAAUGAGGCGAACCGGGGGAACUGAAACAUCUAAGUACCCCGAGGAAAAGAAAUCAACCGAGAUUCCCCCAGUAGCGGCGAGCGAACGGGGAGGAGCCCAGAGCCUGAAUCAGCAUGUGUGUUAGUGGAAGCGUCUGGAAAGUCGCGCGAUACAGGGUGACAGCCCCGUACACAAAAGCGCAUGUGUUGUGAGCUCGAUGAGUAGGGCGGGACACGUGGUAUCCUGUCUGAAUAUGGGGGGACCAUCCUCCAAGGCUAAAUACUCCUGACUGACCGAUAGUGAACCAGUACCGUGAGGGAAAGGCGAAAAGAACCCCGGCGAGGGGAGUGAAAAAGAACCUGAAACCGUGUACGUACAAGCAGUGGGAGCACAGGUUUACCUGUGUGACUGCGUACCUUUUGU
rnacentral:rRNA from 1 species